rnacentral:rRNA from 1 species
AUUGAACGCUGGCGGCAUGCCUUACGCAUGCAAGUCGAACGGUAACAGGGUGCUUGCACCGCUGACGAGUGGCGAACGGGUGAGUAAUGCGUCGGAACGUGCCGAGUAGUGGGGGAUAACGCAGCGAAAGUUGUGCUAAUACCGCAUACGUACUGAGGUAGAAAGUGGGGGACCUUCGGGCCUUACGCUAUUCGAGCGGCCGACGUCUGAUUAGCUAGAAGGAGAGGUAAAGGCUUACCUAGGCGACGAUCAGUAGCGGGUCUGAGAGGAUGAUCCGCCACACUGGGACGGAGACACGGCCCAGACUCCUACGGGAGGCAGCAGUGGGGAAUUUUGGACAAUGGGCGAAAGCCUGAUCCAGCCAUGCCGCGUGUCUGAAGAAGGCCUUCGGGUUGUAAAGGACUUUUGUCGGGGAGGAAAUCCCCAGCGUUAAUACCGCUGGGGGAUGACAGUACCUGAAGAAUAAGCACCGGCUAACUACGUGCCAGCAGCCGCGGUAAAAC